rnacentral:lncRNA from 1 species
CCAUAUAGAAAAUUCUAACACCUCCCCUUUCCUGAUCACAAGUUCCAAAUGGCUAGAAUGUGUAGAAUGGAUGGAUAAGGAAGAAGCUUUAAUGGAUUCUGACUUUGGCUCAAUUUCAAAUGGUAAGUUCUUGACUCCCUUUGACGAUGAGAUUCAUCCAACUACAGAAGAGGACAUAAAUGAGACCAAUCCAGGAGAAACUCCGAACAUUCAGAUUGGAGACGAAGAUAACAUUAAUGGGCAUAUAAUUUAUUUCACAGGCACUUCGUUUACUCCAUACUCAUAUGCAACAUCUUCCCAAUCUAUUGGUCUCUCCAACAUCACCACAUUUGAGAUCUCCAACCCCCUCUUCCUUUCUAUUUAUAAAAACUUUAAAAGGGCGGUUGUCGAUGCAUAUGUCUAUAAUAAAUAUUGCAGAUCUCGUUGAGUUGAUCUUGAUAUAGGUCAGCGUUGGAAGGGAAACCACUUCGCCGACAUAAAUUGAUGGUUUCCCAAGGACAAGCUUAGUGUCCUAAAAUAAACACUGAUCAGAUCGUAACAUGAGCUUUUAAUUAUUUGCAACAUUACCUUGCGUAUUGAGCAUAUAAGGAUAAUUGUAAAAAUAUUUCUUCGGGUAUUCUUGUCACUAACCUUUCUAGGAUUGGAGC